rnacentral:rRNA from 1 species
AUUGACCGCUGGCGGCAGGCCUAACACAUGCAAGUCGAACGCGUCGCGGACGGGUGAGUAAUGUCGGGGAACCUGCCUGAUGGAGGGGGAUAAGUACUGGACACGGUAGCUCAUACCGCAUACCAUCGGAUGUGCCCAGAUUGGAUUAGCUAGUAGGUGGGUUAAAGGUUCACCUAGGCGACGAUCCCUAGCUGGGCUGAGAGGAUGACCAGCCACACUGGAACUGAGACACGGUCCAGAUUCCUACGGGAGGCAGCAGUGGGGAAUAUUGGACAAUGGGCGCAAGCAUGAUGCAGCCAUGCCGCGUGUAUGAAGAAGGCAUUCGGGUUGUAAAGUACUUUCAGCGGGGAGGCGUUACCCGCAGAAGAAGCACCGGCUAACGCCGUGCCAGCAGCAGCGGUAAUUC